rnacentral:rRNA from 1 species
AUUGAACGCUGGCGGCAGGCUUAACACAUGCAAGUCGAGCGGAGAUGAGGUGCUUGCACCUUAUCUUAGCGGCGGACGGGUGAGUAAUGCUUAGGAAUCUGCCUAUUAGUGGGGGACAACAUUCCGAAAGGAAUGCUAAUACCGCAUACGUCCUACGGGAGAAAGCAGGGGAUCUUCGGACCUUGCGCUAAUAGAUGAGCCUAAGUCGGAUUAGCUAGUUGGUGGGGUAAAGGCCUACCAAGGCGACGAUCUGUAGCGGGUCUGAGAGGAUGGUCCGCCACACUGGGACUGAGACACGGCCCAGACUCCGACGGGAGGCAGCAGGGGGGAAUAUUGGACAAUGGGGGGAACCCUGAUCCAGCCAUGCCGCGUGUGUGAAGAAGGCCUUAUGGUUGUAAAGCACUUUAAGCGAGGAGGAGGCUACUGAGACUAAUACUCUUGGAUAGUGGACGUUACUCGCAGAAUAAGCACCGGCUAACUCUGUGCCAGCCGCCGCCGUAA